GACGAACGCUGGCGGCGUGCUUAACACAUGCGAGUCGAACGGUGAAGCGCCUUCCUUUUUGGUGGGUGUGGAUGAGUGGCGAACGGGUGAGUAACACGUGAGUAACCUGCCCCCUUCUUCUGGAUAACCGCAUGAAAGUGUGGCUAAUACGGGAUAUUCUGGGUCUGUCGCAUGAUGGGUCUGGGAAAGAUAUUGUUUCGGUGGGGGAUGGGCUCGCGGCCUAUCAGCUUGUUGGUGGGGUGAUGGCCUACCAAGGCGGUGACGGGUAGCCGGCCUGAGAGGGUGGACGGUCACACUGGGACUGAGACACGGCCCAGACUCCUACGGGAGGCAGCAGUGGGGAAUAUUGCACAAUGGGCGCAAGCCUGAUGCAGCGACGCCGCGUGAGGGAUGGAGGCCUUCGGGUUGUGAACCUCUUUCGCCAGUGAAGCAGGCCUGCCUCGUUUGUGGGUGGGUUGACGGUAGCUGGAUAAGAAGCGCCGGCUAACUACGU
rnacentral:rRNA from 1 species